UUUAUGACAAAUAUUCCACAUCCGUGAUUCUCUCUAGUCAAAACUUCUUUGAGACGAUGCUGUUGGCCUUGGCCAAUCGGAGAAUCGAAUCAUCUGACUCACCCAUCCUACGAAUGGCCCCGCAGAUAGCAUAAGUUUUAAACUGGCCAUUAAACCUGCCCGUGACCUUGUCAGCCUCGGCCACGUUCAUCUGGAUGGAUGCGUGGUCCUUGGCACCGAUGAUGCGGUUGCUAGCGGAGCAUUUCCGCGGAACUUACAGGUCCACGAACUCGCCGGCGUCGUUCUGCAUUUCGCGGCUCCGCCUGCUGCCACCACACCGCGCGCGAGAGAAAGCCGAGGGUUUGUCCUCUUAUGCCAAGUUAGGGCAGCCCUCAAAGCAGAUCUCGAAGGGAAGACGUCUACCGAGAGCGGAUUUUGAUGUAUCACUCCAUGAGACUGGUGCCUUUCUCUAGCCUGGAGAAUUCCAAGGGUGCAAAGCUGGCUGAAGCUAUUUGAGAUGGCUGGUGAGGAUUUGGGCCAGCAGAGGGGGACAAGGAUUUGUUUGCUUGAAAGUAAUGAUCUGUCAACAAACUGGGUCAAAGAAAAGACCCUGGCAGCUUAGCCUGAGGAGAAGGGUGCUAGUAUCACAUCAUGCAUCUAUAAAAUGUGGGCCGCUUUUGGAAAUACGUGGGUGAGUUGCCAGUUGCAUCAGCCUAGCUGUUGCAGUUCUUGAUAAUAAUUAUUAGUCAUCUUUGUUCCAGCAAAAUCCUCAUCAUUCUCAAUAGAUUAGAGGCUAAAUUUCAAAUAUUUUACUUUAGUAAAAAUCUUUACAAUUGGACUGUUAGAAACCUUGCAUUAUUUGAACAAAAGUGACGUAUUUGAAGAUCAGUGGGAAAGUUGGAAAAUAAACCAAUUCCUGCUCACUAAUUAUUUUUUUAAAUGCCAUGAAUGGAGGCUUGGUUUCACUGAAUAUGCCUUUAAAGAUUUUUAAAUGUUUU
rnacentral:lncRNA from 1 species